rnacentral:lncRNA from 1 species
AUCCCUAUGGGGUCCUAUGGGGUAUCCCUAUGGGGUCUUAUGGGGUAUCCCUAUGGGGUAUCCCUAUGGGGUCCUAUGGGGUCUUGGGGACACCCCUAUGGGGUCUUUGGGGUCCUUUGGUUCCUAUUAAAGCCAUUGUGCCACUGCAGCUGUGUGCUCUGCUGGGACCCCCCCCAUUGAUGUCCCCAUUCAUGUCCCUCACCCCAUUCAUGUCCCCAUUCAUGUCCCCAUUCAUGUCCCCAUUCAUGUCUCACCCCAUUCAUGUCCCCAUUCAUGUCCCCAUUCAUGCAUUGCCCCCAUUGAUACCCCCCCCAUUCAUGACCCCAUUGAUGCCCCCACCCCAUUGA